GUGCUCACUUUGGCAGCACAUAUUCUGAAACGGCCGCAGUGGAGAGGAUUAGCACAGCCCCUGAGCAAGGAUGACAUGCAAAUCUACGAAUCACUCCAUGUAAAU